rnacentral:misc_RNA from 1 species
AGCAGCCGCGGUAAUUCCAGCUCCAAUAGCGUAUAUUAAAGUUGUUGCAGUUAAAAAGCUCGUAGUUGAAUUUCGGGAUUAGUGCGCUGGUCAUGCCUUUGGUAUGUACUGGUGUUACUGGUUCCUACCUUCUGAAGAACCGUCAUGUCAUUCAUUUGGUGUGGCGGGGAAUCAGGACUGUUACUUUGAAAAAAUUAGAGUGUUUAAAGCAGGCUCGCGCUUGAAUACAUUAGCAUGGAAUAAUGAAAUAGGACGUUUGACCCUAUCUUGUUGGUUUCUAGGAUCGACGUAAUGAUUAAUAGGGAUAGUUGGGGGCAUUAGUAUUCAAUUGUCAGAGGUGAAAUUCUUGGAUUUAUUGAAGACUAACUACUGCGAAAGCAUUUGCCAAGGAUGUUUUCAUUAAUCAAGAACGAAAGUUAGGGGAUCGAAGACGAUCAGAUACCGUCGUAGUCUUAACCAUAAACUAUGCCGACUAGGGAUCGGAUGAUGUUAUUUUUAAUGACUCAUUCGGCGCCUUACG